CCAUGCUUUACAUAUGUACCAGCUUGAAUGAAUUCCGGCGCAUGCCAUCUGAUGGCAUUUUCUAUAAAAGUCAGUUAGGCCAUGUGCACGAGCUCAGUUGAGUUUCAGCUACCAGACUCCAGACUUGAAAUCUUUCGCCAUAUCGAAGAGAACCAACCAAGCCACCCAGCGAAAGCACAAAUUGAGCAAAACAUUUUCGCUAUUUGAAGCCCGCCAUCUUUGCCCCACCGUCGGCAAUUUGGUUCAACCAGUUUUUCGGAGUAGUAUAUGAGCCCUGCGCUUACCUCAAAAACCACAAACAGAUCACAAUCAUCCCAAAGGACGCAGCUCAAAAGCUCUUAGAUAAACGUAUUUAAUUGAUCGCCAGUCAGUUCGAUCAGGUCGAACCUACUGUAAGUAGAACACCAUGUGUAAGCAACAAGAGAUGAAUAUGAGGUUGCAAUCGCCUCAACAAAAUGGAUACAAUAAUGGUACCCAAACGCUAUAUAAAAUCGACUGAUACAAAUUCCAAGAGGGUACACUGUCACGACCCACAAAAAUAAUGUCAUAAAUCAAUAUUCAAAAGAUAUGUAACCAAUUGUAGGGCCACCAUGUAGGCCGAUAUUGAAUGUAUUCGCAAUCUAUAUAACCUUACUUAAAGCAUCAAUAACUUAGGGAAAUGAAAAUGCAUAUAAGUGGGCGCCCCCAACAAGGGCGUUUCAAUAAUCAAAAUAUUUAGUACAUAAGAUGUUAUACAAUUAAAAUAACUUGAUAGGUUCCGAACCCGAACACUUAGGUAGGGCCACAAAACGGAAGACAGCUCAAGGAAUUAUUCGCUCGCAAACUAACCUUUUGACUUUGAUCCCCCAACGAGUGUCCCACAUUGGGCUUAUCCGCUCUAUCCGGGGAUGUGCGUCCGUUUUAAUGCAACCCAAAAAUCCAAUUCAAAUCAAAAUUAUCCGAGUCUAUGUUGAAUCUGGGUGUCUGAACUUGUACGCGUGCGCGAUGCUCAACGGUGAAUGGAGGCCAGGGUCCGGACCCUUGCCGUUAUCGCGUUCUUCGAGCUGCACGACAUGCGGCUGUCGCCCCUCGCGCCGGUUGGGCGGGUGGUGGGUAACGAUUUUAGCGUUACACGUUGGGAAUGCGUUCGCAA